UGAAUUUUUGUGAUCUUGCGCCAUCUGUUGACUUGACGGCUUUCUCGAAUGUUUGUCACAAACUUGACAUUUUUUAAGCACAUAAAUACCCAUGCGUUGGAUGCUCAGAAUACGAUAACAAAUACAAUCUUUACAUAUCUUAAUGUUUGGUUUCUAAUCUUCCUUCUCUCUUUUGGUGUGCAGUCAGCUGCUUUUGGUCCAGUAGCCUCAGGGCUGACUCGAGGGCCCGGGGCCUCUGGGAUCAGACGGCGGGCUUGGCGGGGUGGGGUGUGUUGCUGCAACCGCCAGGGGCCGUCCUCCCGGGGCCUCCACUCUGCGUUUCAUAUGUUCUCUGCAGGCGCUCCAGACAGAUGGACAGCAUCUCCAUUCAUCAUCCAAUCCUCAGGUUCCAUGUGUCCAGUUUCUCGGCAAUGGCGGCAAUCUUCUCCGACGACGGCCUGGGCUGAAUGGCGAAGUAGGCCUCCAGGGAGCGCUUCUCCGGGGCGGCGAUGGAAGUGCGCCUCCGCCGCCUGGCGUCGUCCGCCACGCCGCCCCCUCCCCCCAUGAGCUCCGGCGCGGCGGCGCUCCUGUCCCGGCACCAGGGUCAUUUAUUAUUGACCCCGUCAUUGUUUGGGAGCUGUCAUGGUGUGUUUUGACGGCGACGUUGAAGCAAUAAGACCGAGGUGGGGCACAGCAUUCCAGCGUCCCAAGUUGGCUCAGCAUCACAGUGACGGACGGUUGUGCCUAAUACUGGUGAGUGAAGA